AACACAAGUACGCGUGCGCGCAGGGUUGGAAGCCCCCACCCAAGCCCCGUUGCCUUUGUGCGCUUGCGCGCGCUCCUUUACCGGUUCUAGAGACCCUGUGCGUCCCAGGGUCACCACAGCCAGUCCCCUGCCCCUGGGCUGUUUGUUUACCUACUUCCCGCCCUCUAGUGCCCUUCCCUAUCUCGACUUUGCCUUCAGACAAGCGUUCCCCCAGACCGUGUUAUUUGUCUUUUGUUUUGUUGUUUUAGAUGUGGAAGGACAUUUAAUUAUAUGCGGGGUGCUGAGACUCGAACCCAGUGGCUCACACAUGCUAGGCCAGUGCUCUACCUCUGAGCCCCAGCCCAGCCUCACUUUUUUAUUUUGAGACAGGGUCUCUAAGUUGCUGAGGCUGGCCUCGAACAAGCAAUUGCCCUGCCUCAGCCUCCCGAUUUGCUGGAUCACAGGCGUGGCCACCACGUCCGGCCCCCACCUCAGUCUUUUCAUACAUCCUGGGAAUUGACAUCACCGCUGUUACUGGAAAUGUGGAUUUUCAUGGAUCCCCUCGGCUGCUGUGCCUGUCCUCCAGGCGUGGGCCCCUGCUUCGCCCUCCUGGAUCCCUCUUGGGGUGGUCAUGCCACUUGCCCCUCUGUGAGGUUCCUUUCUGGAGUGUCUUUGUGUCCCAGGACAGUGUUGGGUCUCCUGGGCAUUCUGUCUCUGUCUGCUCCUGAUCCCCUGCCCAACAGUGACUGGAUGCCGAUUUCACAGGGGUGGGAGCCGAGCUUGAGGGGUUAGUGCUGGUGGUGGAGGUCUCCUGGCCCAGCAUGUCUGAGUUGGGUGAGAGCCUCUGUGGCAGGCCAGGACUGUGUGUUUUCUGGCCUGACAGGCUGGGCCCAGGCUCUGACUCCUUCCUCAUCUGGAGGUAGGACAAGGCCUCCCAGCCUAGGACUUCCUGGGGUUCCCCAUGCACACUUACCCCAAGAAGCGUUGCCAUCUCUCCAUAGAGCCAGACCACAUGGGGCCUGAUUGUCCUCUCCUGCUGGACCUGUUGCCCGCCUAGGCUUGGUGUUGUGAGAGGAGAGACAGAGGCCCCAAGAAAUGGCUAGUGUCCUCAUCUGCUGAGGGGUCCCAAUUCCUGGUUCCCUGCAGCCUGGGGCCGGUGAGGAAGGAGCUGUCUUGCUUUGGAGCCAGCAUGCCCCAGCCCUGGGCUGCUGUCAGCCAGCCACAAGGGGCAGUGCAGCAGGAAGUGUAGAGGGGCUGUGCCUGUGGUCUGUGGCUGCCCUCCCUGGAGCUGGGCCUGUGUGGCCCUGUGGCCAUGGCCUUGUGUUGCCUGCUUUGUAUUGUCAGACAGAGGUUGGGGACAGAUGACGCUGUGUUUGUCUUCUGCCCUGGAGACAGUGGACCUUUUGUGGCCUAGGCAGUCUGUUUGGGCCACAGAAUUGGGAUCCAGAUGGCUGCUGUGAACCUUCUGUGGGUGCUGCCUGGCUUGGGGCCUCAGGUGGCAGCAGUUGCGGUGGCACCACACUUGCAAGGAACCACUCCCACUUUUCUGUCUCCUGCUCCCACCAGCACCUCUGCAGAGCGCAGGACCAGCUGUUCACAUCAGAAGGCCUCAGCAUGGGCUGGGGCCAAGGUGCAGGCCUGUCAUCACAGCGACUUGGGAGGCUGAGGCAGGAGGAUCACAAUUUCAAGGCCAGCCUCAGCAACUUAGCAAGACCCCAUCUCAAAAUAAAAAUGCAGAGGGGAGCUGGGAGUGUGUGUGGCUCCGUGGUAGAGCCCUUUCCUAGCACAUGUGAGGCCCUGGGUUCCAUUCUCAGCAUCACAUAAAGAUAGAUAAAAUAAAGGUGUUGUGUACAUGUACAACUAAGAGCAAUAAAAAAAAAUGAAAAGGGCCAGGAUGUGGCUCAGUGGUGGAACACCAAAGGCAGGCCCAGUGUGCCCUGCAAAGUGACUGCUGAUGCUGGAGUCUGCCACCCGGGACUCCUGGCCACUGAGGUGGGAACCGGGCAGCCUGUUGUGCGGACUGAUGACCGACCGCCUCUCAGCGGUGGUGGGGUGGGGCCCGCCAAGGCACUAGCAGGGCCGUGGAGUCUGGGCAAGUGUGUUUGAGACAAUCCAGAGUCAUUUUAUCACUGUCUGUGAACAUCCCUCAUGUCUGCUGAGGCCCCUCUUCCAGGAACAAGACGAGCACACAGGUGACGUGAAGUUGGUGGCGUUUUUCCCCUUGUGCGGCGGCCAGGCCAGGCCUGUGCAUGCCUGGGAGAGCACCUACCACCGAGCCACACCCCAGGACAGACGCCAAGUUUUUUAAAAGCCACGUUUUAAAAAAGUAAAUCAAGGAC
rnacentral:lncRNA from 1 species